UGAGGAAUAUUGGUCAAUGGGCGAGAGCCUGAACCAGCCAAGUCGCGUGAAGGAAGACUGUCCUAUGGAUUGUAAACUUCUUUUUUACAGGAAUAAAGUGCACUACGUGUAGUGUUUUGUAUGUACUGUACGAAUAAGGAUCGGCUAACUCCGUGCCAGCAGCCGCGGUAAUACGGAGGAUCCGAGCGUUAUCCGGAUUUAUUGGGUUUAAAGGGUGCGUAGGUGGAACAUUAAGUCAGUGGUGAAAGUUUUCAGCUUAACUGAAAAAUUGCCGUUGAAACUGCUGUUCUUGAGUGCAAAUAAGGUAGGCGGAAUGUGUUGUGUAGCGGUGAAAUGCAUAGAUAUGACACAGAACACCAAUUGCGAAGGCAGCUUACCGGGAUGCAACUGACACUGAGGCACGAAAGCGUGGGUAUCAAACA
rnacentral:rRNA from 1 species